GUUACCAUGAGGUUUUCUCAGUGGGACUAUUUGUGUCCCUGUGGCUCUUCAGGGAGCUUGCAGAAUUCUAGCUAAAGAUAAGAAGGACAUCGCUUCAAAUGGGAGGUCAAUCAAUGGAACAUUAGGAAGGCUUCGUUCAGCUCGGCAACACCUUGGUGAAGAUCCUGGUGUUACACAUCCAAUUGUUCACCUCCUUCCAAGACUAUGACAUUCCAGGAAACCUUCAGUGCUAAGAGGAACUGAUAUCUAGAGUAUCUCCUCGAGGAAGUACAACCGGUAAGUCCUCACCAGUGAGUUUAACGUUUGUUUCUAAAAUGUACAAAUAACAACAAAGAUCCCUCAUGCCUGGCAAAGAGUACCCAUGCCCCUGCCACAUACCAUGAAGCACAGCCUCUCAAUGGUCA
rnacentral:lncRNA from 1 species